GGCCCUAUGGGGUGCAGCAGGCGCGAAACCUCUACAAUGCACGCAAGUGUGAUAGGGCAACCCCUCGUGCUUAUCUUUUGAUAGGCUUUUAUUAAGUGUAAUGUACUUAAUGAAUAAGUGGUGGGCAAGACCAGUGCCAGCAGCCGCGGUAAUACUGGCGCCACAAGUGGAGAUCCUGAUUAUUGGGUCUAAAGUGUUCGUAGCUGGUUUUUUAAGUCUUUUGUGAAAGUUCUGUGGCUUAACUCAGAAAUUGCAAAAGAUACUGGAAAACUUGAGACCGGGAGAGGUAUGAAGUAUGGAUUGGGUAGCGGUUAAAUGUUAUAAUCCUUUCCAGACUAACUAAGGCGAAGGCAUCAUACUAGAACGGAUCUGACAGUGAGGAACGAAAGCUAAGGUAGCGAACCGGAUUAGAUACCCGGGUAGUCUUAGCUGUAAACGCUGCGGGUUACGCUUUGUUAAAUCUAUGGGAUUUAACAGGGGGGUAGCGAAGGCAUUAAACCCGCCACCUGGGGAGUACAGCCGCAAGGCCGAAACUUAAAGGAAUUGGCGGGGGAGCAC
rnacentral:rRNA from 1 species